ACAGGUUGGUUUUUUUUACAAUAACUAUCGGAAAAGACUAACAAAAUUUAUGUUCCUAUCAUGCAUAAAUCUAAAUAAAUCAUUGAUUUUGCAAAAUCUGAUGACAUCAUAGGAGGGUGGAAUUACUUUAAGUUAUGUUUAGUGCUGUGUGUAUAUAAACAUGCACUCAUAUAAUUAUAUCUUCCCUCUUCCAGGAGGAGACAUAUUGUAUUUGUACUUUCUGUCCGUCCUUCCUUCUGUCACAAAAUCUUGUGAACGCUUCUCCACCUAUAUGGCUUAUCAGAUAGACUUGAAACUUUGUACAAUGCUUCAUUGUCAUUUGCAGAUGUGAAUAUUGUUGGGACGGGAGGAUCCAAUUGUUUUCCUAAGAGUUAUAGUGGAUCUAAGAGGGGUGGAAGAUGUAAAAUAGCUUAUGAACUCUUCUCCUCCCAUAUGGCUUAUUGGAUAGACUUGAAACUUUGUACAAUGCUUAAUUGUCAUUUGUAGAUGUGCAUAUUGUCGGAAUGGGAGGAUCCAAAGUUUUUCCUAAAAGAUAUAGUGGAUCUAAAAGGGGUGGAGGAUGUUAAAAUACCUUGUGAACACUUCUCCUAUAUGGCUUAUCUGAUAGACUUGAGAAUUUGUACAAUGCUUCAAUGCCAUUUGUAGAUGUGCAAGUUGUAGGGACAGGAGGAUCCAAUUGUUUUCCUAAGAGUUAUAGUGGAUCUAAGAGGGGUGGAAGAUGUAAAAUAGCUUAUGAACUCUUCUCCUCCCAUAUGGCUUAUUGGAUAGACUUGAAACUUUGUACAAUGCUUAAUUGUCAUUUGUAGAUGUGCAUAUUGUCGGAAUGGGAGGAUCCAAAGUUUUUCCUAAAAGAUAUAGUGGAUCUAAAAGGGGUGGAGGAUGUUAAAAUACCUUGUGAACACUUCUCCUAUAUGGCUUAUCUGAUAGACUUGAGAAUUUGUACAAUGCUUCAAUGCCAUUUGUAGAUGUGCAAGUUGUAGGGACAGGAGGAUCCAAUUGCUAUCCUUAAAGUUAAAGUGGAUCUGAGGGGUGUAGGGUAUAAAAUAGUUUGUGAACGUUUCUCCUCCUAUAUGGCUUAUCAGAGUUCAUGUCUAUCUUCCUGCCCAUGCUUUCUCCUCCAUACUAUUCAAUACAUUAAGGGGGAUGUUUCCUAUAUUUUACGAAUUAAUUGGUUGAUUGACAACAAACUUGGUACACUUGUACAGCAUAUAUAAGGAGUAGAUGACCCCUAUUGAUUCUUAGGUCACAUGGUCAGUCCACUCUUGACAUAGGAAGGAAUUGUCUGCUCAAUAUUUUGAAUUGGUGUAACUACUAUCAAUUAAAUGAGGCACGGGUAUAACCCUUUCAAUUUUGCAACUUGGGGUCAUAUGUGUUUUAGAAACAUCUCUUGUGUUGUAUUAUAUGAAUUACAGUUUUUAGUGUGCUCAGUUUAGAGAAUAGCAUAAAAGUAUUUGAUAAUUAAAUAUCUUGCAGAUUGGCAGUUUACUCCAUGCACCGACAGGAAUGAUAAACUGUGAUAUUCGUAAAUGGAACUGGGACACGUUCUAAAUAUACUCAGGGACAGAAUGAUGUGCAGCAAGGCUCGUCAUGGAUUUUACCAAAUACAGAACACUGCAAGGCUUGCAAAAUGAAGACCUCAGUAAAAAAAUUUCUAAAUUAUCCACUAAUGGCAGCUCACUACCUGCCCCUUGUGAUGUUAAAAGAGGCCGUUGUUCUCAUUUGUUCCAAAACAGGAAUGGCAUAUGAGGAGGCCAACAGAAGAUGCACCUCCACUGACCUCCACUGAGUGUGCACUCACAAAACGAAUAAAUUAUUAUUAUUUCUUUUGUUUGUAAUUGUAUAUUGUCAACAAGGUCAAAGGCACUUGAUCCGAUGCCAAACUUUUGCAUUUCUUUUGCUUUGUGGUAAAUUUUCUUCAGCAACAUUAACAUUGUUUAAAUUGUUUUCUUUGGAGAGUUUACAUGUACACAUGGAUCAUUUGUAUAUUAGAAUUAUAGCAUUGUUUAAUUCAACUCAUUCUUAUCAUAGAGAGGUUAUUAUAUACUGCAGGCAACGACUUGUAAAGGGUAUACUGUUUUAACUCACAUGCAAGGCAGUAUUAUGAAACUCUGUAGUUGAUAAGGACAUAUAUCACAUAUCGAUAUGCAUAUUUACAGGAAACUCUGAUGUAUUUUAAAUCUGAACGUUAAUUUAAAAGUGGGGAGAAAUAGCAUUGGAUGAAAAAAGACACAUAUGAAGAAAAUUAUUCCAUACGUAAAUACUUUUUAGCUCACCUGAGCUGAAAGCUCAAGUGAGCUUUUCUGAUCGCCUGUUGUUCAUUGUCUAUCCGUGAUUAAACAUUUUAUAUUUUCUCCAGAAGCACUGGGCCAAUAAUAACCAAACUUAGCCAAAAGUAUCCUUGGGUAAAGGGCUUUCGAGUUUGUUCAAAUGAAGGGCCAUGCCCUCUUCAAAGGGGAGAUGACCACAAAAAUAGGGUGGGUCAUUUAAUUUUUUUUAUCAAGAACCAUUGGGCCAGAAGAGCUGAAAUGUACAUGAAAGCUUCCUGACAUAGUACAGAUUCAAGUUUAUUGAAAUCAUGGCCUCCAGGGGUUGUAUGGGGCCACAAUAGAGAAUCAAAGUUUUACAUACAAUUAUUCAGGAAAACUCUUUCAAUAUGAGCCAAGGUGGCUCAGGUGAGCGAUGUGGCCCAUGGGCCUCUUGUUCAACAUAUAGAAUAAAUAGUUAUGUUGUAUUUCCCAUGGAACAUUGAAACGUUUAAUGCGUUUACCAAUUAAUCACUGAAAGAAAGAUAAAAUUGUUGUUUCAUAUGUUUUAUGAAAACUUAAAGAUGUUUCAUUUCUUUUCAUGAAAGACCCCUUAAUUACCCAGUAAUAUAUAAUCAAUUCUUAACAGAUUAUGUAAAUUUGAUUUAUAUUAAGGAUGUUUGAUCUGAUUACCCAUCAUUAUCAAUCUGUCUAAUAUGGCCAUCAUGUGUUACUAUUGCUACGCAAUCUUGGAGCAUGAGGUAGAAUGCGACCUAGCUCUUUCAUAAGUACAUCCAUCUGGAAAAUAUUUCAAUGUCAAAGGUUACAACAAUGUGAUAAUUUAAUCAUUGUAUGUCUAAGGUGUUGAUAAUAAAACUGUUAUCUGUUCAA